AAUUUUCCUUUGACAGGUUAUGGUUCUUAUCUCUACGUAUUAUUUUGACCACUUUCAAGACAUCGUUGGAUCGUUCCUUUUUAUCACUACUCGUUCCAAAAGAAUGAUGUUGAUGAGACGAACGCUUCUUUCUGACACCAAUAGAAGCAACUUUCUGCAGAUAAUCCUCAGAUAACACUUUGUGCCUAUUUCUGAUGCCAGCAGUGUUAUUAUCCGAGAUGGUUCUUCGUUGAUGUCGAGUGAACGAACGACGGUUCAAUCGCAGAACCGUUGAGCACCGAGAAGAAGGUAUGUGAGUUCAACUAUGGAAGCUGUUUGGCAAUUAGCAGUGGAACACAUCAUAGACGGUAUGUGAGUUAAAGGAUCGAUAGUGUUUGCCAAUUAGUAGU